GGCGAACGCUGGCGGCGUGCUUAACACAUGCAAGUCGAACGGAAAGGCCCUGCUUUUGUGGGGUGCUCGAGUGGCGAACGGGUGAGUAACACGUGAGUAACCUGCCCUUGACUUUGGGAUAACUUCAGGAAACUGGGGCUCAUACCGGAUAGGAGCUCCUGCUGCAUGGUGGGGGUUGGAAAGUUUCGGCGGUUGGGGAUGGACUCGCGGCUUAUCAGCUUGUUGGUGGGGUAGUGGCUUACCAAGGCUUUGACGGGUAGCCGGCCUGAGAGGGUGACCGGCCACAUUGGGACUGAGGUACGGCCCAGACUCCUACGGGAGGCAGCAGUGGGGAAUAUUGCACAAUGGGCGGAAGCCUGAUGCAGCAACGCCGCGUGCGGGAUGACGGCCUUCGGGUUGUAAACCGCUUUCGCCUGUGACGAAGCGUGAGUGACGGUAAUGGGUAAAGAAGCACCGGCUAACUACGUG
rnacentral:rRNA from 1 species